UGACGCUAAUGCACCAGUCAGUUCUUUAACGAACUCUGAGAAAAAGUAUAAAGUUUUUAAAAACAAAAAAAUAAAAAUAAAAUGUUUGUAGGUACAAUCGGGCUGGAUCAACUACAGCUUUUUUUGUACUGUACUUGGAUCUGGUUAAUAUAAAAUAAUAUUUAAAAAUUAAAUAUAAAAUGUGAGUCAGGUCAAUAGUUAAUGGACCCCGGGCCUCAAAGUCAAAAAGUUUAAGAACUUAAGUGUAAUAACUUCUGGUAGUUUGUUUCUCUGUGAGCCUUGACACUCACAACAGAGAAGGUGAAGAUGACAUGGUCCACCAGGUGGCAGCAUUACAAUUACAGGAUGCCAUAAACACUUAACAAAGUUGAAGAAGAAUCAAUAGGGCUGUCUGUCCUGAUUGCCUGCUAAUGGCGCCCAGUUGCUGCUAUGCUAACCUUUAUAUCGCUACACCUGCUGUGCUUAAACAGGUAGAUAAGGAAUUAAAGCUGUUUUUAUUUUAUUUUAUUUUUAUUUUUUAAUGGUUCCUUCUGAAGAGUCCUCGAACAGACACAACUGAGAGAAACUGAGAGGCUGCUCUCCCCUCUCUCUCUCUCCUCCCCCUCGUGGACUGAAGCCAGCUGUUUCUGCAGAGCAGCUUCCAGAUGAUGACGGCGAGGGAACAGCAGCGCCGCCCCCACAAAACGGUGUCAGUGGAGGUUCCAGUUUCAGGUCAAGACGCCCAGCGUACGUCGGACCAGCCUGACCAACGCAGAGCAGGAACUUCAUUAUGGAGGAGCAGGAAAGAGAACACGACGAAGAUGAUCACAGAUGAAAACCCUCUGUCCAAAUCAGGAUCUGUAAAUGUAAGUUUACUCUUUUUUUACUUUCCUUUCAAACUAAUGCAUAUUGUACAUAUGUAAGUAGUAACUGUUGUCAUCAUCUGCUGUUUUCUCCUUUAUUCAUCACUCUGACUCUUACCUGUUUGUACAACCUGUUUGAAUAACUGCAGCUACAUCUGAGGUUGUAGAGACUUCAAACCUAAACUGAUGGCUUCCCUUAAUGUCCCUUAAAAACAUCUGUUGUGGGAAAUAAUCAGUGUGACCACAGGGCCUCCGUA